rnacentral:tRNA from 1 species
GGGAUUGUGGCUCAGUGGUAGAGCACUUGCCUGGCAUGUGUGAGGCCCUGGGUUCAAUCCCCAGUGCCG